rnacentral:rRNA from 1 species
AUACAACAACCAGCCAAUAGCCCUGAUUUGAAUGUGCUUGACCUUGGGUUUUUCAACUCGCUGCAAUCCCUGACAGAUUGUCUGAGUCUUAAAACACUACAAGACCUUAUUAAUGGUGUUUUGGAGGAAUUUGAUGGCUAUGAGGUUUACAACCUCAACAGAAUUUUCCUAACUCUGCAAAUGUGCAUGAUUGAGAUCCUGAACCAUGCUGGGGGCAAUGGGUAUAAAAUACCACAUGUGAACAAGGAAAGACUUGAGGGUCUUGGGCAGCUACCUCCAAGAUUUUCGUGCCCUCAAGAGGUUUACGCAAAUGCCCUACACAACCACUAG